rnacentral:pre_miRNA from 1 species
AAGGUUUGCUACGCAGGAGAGAUGACGCUGUCCCUUGCACCCAUCCUAGCUUCCCUUGAGUAGGUAAGAGCAAGGCCAGCCAGCAUCAUAUCUCCUGCAUAGUAAACCUU